AGCAAUCGCAUCUCGUGCUCAUUCUUGUGCGGCCCUUCACCGCUAAGCGACGUGUGUCCCGACCAUCGACCAUAGACCAUCGACAUCAUCGUGCCAUUCAAGCGGUCGUCGUCAUCGUCGUCGUAGUCGUCGUCAUCGUAGUCAUUCGUUCGCAUUCGCUGCCCCCUGACACCCACCCACACGAACACACAACCACCCACUCUCUCGCUCUCUCAUUGUCUGUCUGGGAACCGCAUUCGUGGACAGGCUUCGGGCUCGGCUGCUGCUGCUAGCACCUUCGGGGGGCUGUUGGCGGUUCGGCUGCCUUUGCUGCUUUUCCGCUAACCAAACGCUCGUCACGGGACGUGCAGCAAAAACAGUUUACAUUUGUUUUUCCGCGUGCGAGCACACGUUGACGGCAGCAACAAAAAAACAACAACGUGCGGUGUUGUAGGCUUGCCACAUAGAUCGAAACGAAUGUCCAAGUUCAAAUUCAAAUGUAAAUCCAAAUGAUUAAAAUGAUUAUACAAAAUGCAGUUGCAACAAUAAUUACGAGUACUCAUAUAAUGCCAACAGCAAAAUGUUUCAACCAAUGCAGUGCGUGUGCAUGAAAAACCAAAGCCAAAAGCAACAGCGACAGCAACUCGAGGAAAAGUCACAGGGAAAAGUACUUUGGACAAGUGAAAACCCGCUCGAACUAUAAAUAAGAAAGAAAAAAAACAAAAAUACAAAAAAAUGAUCAUGGAAUGCCCCAUAGGAAAGAGAAAUCCCGCCCAAGAAUCUCCCGGCUGGACUGCCACUGCCACUGCGGCAGAGUGAGGAGUGCCUCAAGAAGGCGUCAGCGGAAGCAAACAAAACUCGAAACU